UAAGACGGGGGAUGCAAGUGUUAUCCGGAAUCACUGGGCGUAAAGCGUCUGCAGGUGGUUUCCUAAGUCCACUGUUAAACCUUGAGGCUCAACCUCAAAUCUGCAUUGGAAACUAGGAGACUUGAGUAUAGUAGGGGUAGAGGGAAUUUCCAGUGGAGCGGUGAAAUGCGUAGAUAUUGGAAAGAACACCGAUGGCGAAGGCACUCUACUGGGCUAUUACUGACACUCAGAGACGAAAGCUAGGGGAGCAAAUGGGAUUAGAUACCCCAGUAGUCCUAGCCGUAAACGAUGGAUACUCGAUGUUGGACGUAUCGACCCGUUCAGUAUCUUAGCUAACGCGUUAAGUAUCCCGCCUGGGAAGUACGCUCGCAAGAGUG
rnacentral:rRNA from 1 species